rnacentral:rRNA from 1 species
UACGUAGGUGGCAAGCGUUGUCCGGAUUUAUUGGGUUUAAAGGGUGCGUAGGUGGCCCUGUAAGUCAGUGGUGAAAUAUCUCAGCUUAACUGAGAGGGUGCCAUUGAUACUGCAGGGCUUGAGUACAGAUGAGGUAGGCGGAAUUGACGGUGUAGCGGUGAAAUGCAUAGAUAUCGUCAAGAACACCGAUAGCGAAGGCAGCUUACCAAGCUGUAACUGACACUGAGGCACGAAAGUGUGGGGAUCAAAUCGG